UACAGAGGGUGCGAGCGUUUAUCGGAUUUAUUGGGCGUAAAGCGCACGCAGGCGGCUUGGUAAGUCGGGUGUGAAAAUCCGAGGCUCGACCUCGGACCUGCACCCGAAACUGCCCGGCUAGAGGUAGGUAGGGGAGAUCGGAAUUCCUGGUGUAGCGGUGAAAUGCGCAGAUAUCAGGAGGAACACCGGUGGCGAAGGCGGAUCUCUGGGCCUUACCUGACGCUCAUGUGCGAAAGCUAGGGGAGCGAACAGG
rnacentral:rRNA from 1 species